AUUUUUAAGAUGGCAAGUCAAGAGUCAUGCUUGUUACCCUAAUCUUCCACCCCCUUCUCCCAUAUUUGCCCUCAAUGAUCCCAACAGUCGGUGUAAAUUGAAGAGUCAAUUGAUGACAAUGUAAAUUGAAGACGCGAUGAUUGAAACGGUGGAAGCAAUUACCAAAUAAUCAAUUAGGUUUCAUGAUUAAAAUCAACUGAAUUGAAUUAAAGACGUCAAUUGAAUCUGCCUAGACGUUUCAGACCCACAAUUAUUUAAGAUGGAAUCCAUGAUUGAAUCGGGUGGUCAUUUGCGAGUUCAGUUGCCUAUAAUCAGGUUUGAAUAUCGACUUUUGUACUAAAGGGAAGUCUGGAAAGACCCUGAUGGUGCAGUGAUUGAUCUUGGAGAGCGUGACGAUGAGAUGAUGAUAAGGACGGUAUGAACUUUGUGUGAUUUAGAUAUUUUAUUUUGGAUGCCGGUGAUACUAUUGUUUGAAUAGAAAGAAUGUUAGGGUUUCGUUUUCUUUUUGUGUUUUCCCCCAAUUUCAGAUAUUAUGAAAUUAUUACCAUUUAUUUGCAGAGCUAAUGAAAGUUUGAUAUUAUUAAGUUCAUGUAUAUUAAUUCAUUUUGCACGUUGAGAGCCUUAAAAAGGUGACGAGGCGGCAAAAACAUUUGUCUGGGAGCAUCAGGUCAGGAAACAAAUGCCUGUGACACUAUGGUGCAUGCAGGGUCUGGUUCGGAGAGAGUGAGAGUUAUAAAGAGAGAGAGAGAGAGAAGGAGAGAGAUGCAGACAAUCAAGAGAAAAGGGAGGAAUUCGGAAGAGUGACGGUGAUGCCGACGACAUGAAGGCGUAGGAUCCGGUGAGGCGUUUAGAAUUCCAGCUAGCAUUUCGACCAUACCCCGAACCUCGAUCAAGAUCCGACAGAGAACCGACAAGGUUUCGACGAGUCUCCGGUUAAGGUUCUGUUACAGAUUUCGUAAAGCUAUCUCUCUGACUAAGAAUCUGGCGUUUAAAGUUAAGAGAUAUUGAAGAGAAAGUGAUGCUUUAAAGUAAAGAAAGGGUAUAAUAGCUUCUUGCUGAAUUCAUAAGUAGAUAUCAUGGACUGUGGUGUCAGCAGUGGAGGGGGAUAGAGUUCACUUGAGUACCUCUUUGGAAAUGAUGAGCCAAAGACCAGUCAAGAAAGAGGUGGUUCCUAAAGUCGUUGUACCCCAGCCAGAUAAUACAAAACAGAUCCCAGAUAAUACAAAACAGAUUCCUACUAGGAUCCAUAUUGCUAAGAGUACAUUGCAAGCUUUGAUAGCUUUGUUAAUAUUUUUUUACUCUGUCUCUUUUAUCAAUAUAAAAAAAAUUAAGAAAAAGUUGACGAGCCGGCUUGAUUAGGCUCGAAGUUUUUAUGAGCCUAGCUUGAGCUCAACUUUUCAGCUAAAAAAAUAAACGAGCCGAGCUCGAGCUCACUUUUUAGCUCGAAAAAAUAAACGUGCCGAGUUGAGCUGGCUUGUUUAACUUUAAGUUCGAACUCAAGCGUAAGUCGUAAGUGAAUACAUGUCAUUAAUUGUUUGUUUAGGAAUUGUCGGUCAUGUUUAGUAACCGGUCUAUCAAACAUAUUC
rnacentral:lncRNA from 1 species